rnacentral:rRNA from 1 species
CUACGGGAGGCAGCAGUGGGGAAUCUUGCACAAUGGGGGAAACCCUGAUGCAGCGACGCCGCGUGAGCGAAGAAGCCUUUCGGGGUGUAAAGCUCUUACGCCAGGGACGAUAAUGACGGUACCUGGAGAAGCAGCUGCGGCUAACUACGUGCCAGCAGCCGCGGUAAUACGUAGGCAGCAAGCGUUGUUCGGAAUUACUGGGCGUAAAGGGUGCGUAGGCGGCGCCUUAAGUUUGGUGUGAAAUCUCCCGGCUCAACCGGGAGGGUGCACUGAAAACUGGGGCGCUCGAGUGUGGGAGAGGAAAGCGGAAUUCCUGGUGUAGCGGUGAAAUGCGUAGAGAUCAGGAGGAACACCCGCGGUGUAGACGGCUUUCUGGACCAUGACUGACGCUGAGGCACGAAAGCGUGGGGAGCAAACAGGAUUAGAAACCCUGGUAGUCC